rnacentral:rRNA from 1 species
GACGAACGCUGGCGGCGUGCCUAAUACAUGCAAGUCGAGCGGACGGAUGGGAGCUUGCUCCCAGACCGUCAGCGGCGGACGGGUGAGUAACACGUGGGCAACCUGCCUGUAAGACUGGGAUAACUCCGGGAAACCGGGGCUAAUACCGGAUAACUCUUUCCCUCACAUGAGGGAAAGCUGAAAGAUGGCAUCUCGCUAUCACUUACAGAUGGGCCCGCGGCGCAUUAGCUAGUUGGUGAGGUAACGGCUCACCAAGGCGACGAUGCGUAGCCGACCUGAGAGGGUGAUCGGCCAGACUGGGACUGAGACACGGCCCAGACUCCUACGGGAGGCAGCAGUAGGGAAUCUUCCGCAAUGGACGAAAGUCUGACGGAGCAACGCCGCGUGAGUGAUGAAGGUUUUCGGAUCGUAAAACUCUGUUGUCAGGGAAGAACAAGUACCGGAGUAACUGCCGGUACCUUGACGGUACCUGGCCAGAAAGCCACGGCUAACUACGUG